CCCAAGCUCCCAUUCUAUGUACUCUCUCUCUCUCUCUCUCUAUGGUUGGCCCAAGCUCCCAUUCUAUGUACUCUCUCUCUCUCUCUCUCUCUCUCUCUCUCUCUCUGUGGAUAGCUGCAAGCUGUGGUUCAAGAAGAGAAGUACUAGCAGUAGUGAGUUUGUGAUUCAUGUGCCCUUCUUCCCCAUCAUGACCACUCGACCUUAUUUACCGUUCAAUCUCAAUGCCAAAAACCAUCCAACUACACAACCUAGCUUGCUGCUUUUUGCCCUCCAUCGGCCAAGCGUCGUUUCUUUUCUUCAGGUUGCCUUUCAGAGGUGGAUCCUUUCUGUUAUGUUGUGUUCCGGAGCAACUUUAUGGACGUUAUUUCAGACUCCUAUCCUUUUCUAUAUAUCUCUCAGAAGUAAGCAAUAUGCUUAGUUAGUUGUAUUUAUUUCAGACUCCUCUCCUUUUCUAUCUCUCAGAAGUAAGCAAUGUCCUUCGGUUGGGUUGUUCAUAGCUUUUUACAUCACCGACCAGCGGGCAGUACAUUAAUUAUGCCUCAUUCCCAGGCUCGGACGUUCUUGCUCGUGUUGGAGUUACAAUUAUGUGUGUGUGUGUGUGUGUGUCACAUAAUGCAAGAUUAACUUUUUGUCUCAUCUAAUUAUGAGCUUUAGGUUGCCUUUCAGAGGUGGAUCCUUUCUGUUAUGUUGAUGUUAUUUCAGACUCUUCUCCUUUUCUAUCUCUCAGAAGUAAGCAAUAUGCUUAGUUAGUUGUAUUUAUUUCUCAAUACAUUAAUUAACCCUCAAAAGUAUUUUUGAUCAUUUCAAUGAAUUGACAUUUUUCAGAGAGGACGGUAAGUGAAUUAAGUUGGCUUUAUAUUUGAUAGAUGAUCUGAGUGGAAUUUUUCUCUCUUUU